CCAAUAGCGUAUAUUAAAGUUGUUGCAGUUAAAAAGCUCGUAGUUGAAUUUCGGGGUUCAUCCGUUGGUCAGGCUUUUUUGGUCUGUACUGGCGUGAUGGAUUCCUACCUUCUGAAUAACCGGCAUGUCAUUAAUUUGGUGCGCCGGGGAAGCAGGACUGUUACCUUGAAAAAAUUAGAGUGCUUAAAGCAGGCUAUCGCCUGAAUACAUUAGCAUGGAAUAAUGAAAUAGGACGGCAUGGUUCUAUUUUGUUGGUUUCUAGGAUCACCGUAAUGAUUAAUAGGGAUAGUUGGGGGCAUUAGUAUUCAAUUGUCAGAGGUGAAAUUCUUGGAUUUAUUGAAGACUAACUUCUGCGAAAGCAUUUGCCAAGGAUGUUUUCAUUAAUCAAGAACGAAAGUUAGAGGUUCGAAGGCGAUCAGAUACCGCCCUAGUUCUAACCAUAAACGAUGCCGACCGGCGAUCCGCCGUCGUUAAUUGAAUGACUCGGCGGGCAGCCUCCG
rnacentral:misc_RNA from 1 species